CAGCCUUUUAACAGUGGUGAUUCAGGUUUCAUUCCAUUUAUAAGCCAGGUUCCUCAAGCCAGGACCUACGCACCUGUUGUGAGUGGUGUUAUAGUUCUGCAGGGCGCACAGGUGCAUCCCCAUGGGCACAUUUAAUUUAGGGAAAUCCUCAUUGACGAUUCAAUUUGUUGAAGGCCAAUUUGUGGACUCCUACGAUCCAACCAUAGAAAACACUUUUACAAAGUUGAUCACAGUAAAUGGACAAGAAUAUCAUCUUCAACUUGUAGACACAGCCGGGCAAGAUGAAUAUUCUAUCUUUCCUCAGACAUACUCCAUAGAUAUUAAUGGCUAUAUUCUUGUGUAUUCUGUUACAUCAAUCAAAAGUUUUGAAGUGAUUAAAGUUAUCCAUGGCAAAUUGUUGGAUAUGGUGGGGAAAGUACAAAUACCUAUUAUGUUGGUUGGGAAUAAGAAAGACCUGC
rnacentral:lncRNA from 1 species